UACGACCUUGUGUUCUGCGGCGGCUUGGUGGUGCGUCACCAAGAAACCGACAUUUCUGUUAUUUAAGUUUCUUUCCCCCUCUCAGAUUGCAUCGCCGAAAAAGAUUAGGCCUAGUCCUCCUUCAACGUUUUAUUCAAUUCACUGAUCCGAUCACUUUUCCUUCUUCUGGUUUUGUUUCAAUUGAAGACGUGAACGAAGAAUUACUCCUUGGAUCGUAUUGACAGUACCGCCAUGGUUUCCUUCGAAAUGAAUGACCGAAAAA